UACGAUAUUUUCCGUUAACUAUUGUACUUGCUCGAUAUUGUGAUUUUUGAUUUCGCUGUAGUCCGUUAAAGUUACUAUCACCAUGUUCACACACGACUAUAAUCAUUGUUCGUGAUAUGAUAUCGUAAAUGUUUCCAUCGCGCGGUGGCGAAUUCCGCCACAAUGAUCGUGCGGAUCAAGUGCUUUAACGACGACCGGAUUCCCGCGGUACCAAAAUACGAUUUUGAGUGAAUUGAUUUUCAUUCGCUUUUGUUUUAACGAAUCC